rnacentral:rRNA from 1 species
GACGAACGCUGGCGGCGUGCUUAACACAUGCAAGUCGAGCGGAGCGGCGAACGGGUGAGUAACGCGUGAGUAACUGCCCCCCUCUCUGGGAUAACAGUUGGAAACGGCUGCUAAUACGGGAUAGUGGGGGAUGACUCGCGUCCUAUCAGCUUGUUGGAGGGGUAGUGGCCUACCAAGGCGACGACGGGUAGCCGGCCUGAGAGGGCGACCGGCCCCAGUGGGCUGAGAGACGGCCCGAACCCGUACGGGAGGCUGGAGUGGGGAAUAUUGCACGAUGGAGGAAACCCUGAUGAAGCAACGCCGCGUGCGGGAUGACGGCCUUCGGGUUGUAAACCGCUUGCAGCCAUGACGCGGUAGUGGCAGAAGAAGCACCGGCUAACUACGUGCCAGCAGCCGCGGUAAUAC